rnacentral:rRNA from 1 species
UCUGGUGGCGAUGGCGAGAAGGUCACACCCGUUCCCAUCCCGAACACGGAAGUUAAGCUUCUCAGCGCCGAUGGUAGUUGGGGGUCUCCCCCUGUGAGAGUAGGACGCCGCCAAGC